UCGCUCCUACUGAUUGAGUGACCCGGUAAACAAUUUUGGAUCACAGUGUUGCUCAGUCCUAGAGUGCCGCUUUGCAAAGUUUAGUGAACCUUAUCACUUAGAGGAAGGAG
rnacentral:rRNA from 1 species